GUCUGGUCCAAAGAUAGUGAGUUAUCUCAGUUGAUUGUUUACAGUCAGUUACAGAUAGAACUCCUUGUUCUACUCUUUCUUUCCUUCUCACUGCUUCACUUGACUUCAGUCUGUA
ensembl:misc_RNA Y_RNA Y RNA